rnacentral:rRNA from 1 species
GACGAACGCUGGCGGCGUGCUUAACACAUGCAAGUCGAACGGUAAGGCCCUUCGGGGUACACGAGUGGCGAACGGGUGAGUAACACGUGGGUAAUCUGCCCUGCACAUCGGGAUAAGCCUGGGAAACUGGGUCUAAUACCGAAUAGGACCACAGGACACAUGUCCUGUGGUGGAAAGCUUUUGCGGUGUGGGAUGGGCCCGCGGCCUAUCAGCUUGUUGGUGGGGUGAUGGCCUACCAAGGCGACGACGGGUAGCCGGCCUGAGAGGGUGUCCGGCCACACUGGGACUGAGAUACGGCCCAGACUCCUACGGGGGGCAGCAGUGGGGAAUAUUGCACAAUGGGCGAAAGCCUGAUGCAGCGACGCCGCGUGGGGGAUGACGGCCUUCGGGUUGUAAACCUCUUUCACCAUCGACGAAGGUCCGGGUUUUCUCGGGCUGACGGUAGGUGGAGAAGAAGCACCGGCCAACUACGUG